rnacentral:rRNA from 1 species
GAAAUCUGGCACCUUCGGUGUCCGAGUUGUAAUUUGAAGAAGGUAACUUUGGAGUCAGCUCUUGUCUAUGUUCCUUGGAACAGGACGUCACAGAGGGUGAGAAUCCCGUGCGAUGAGAUGUCUGAUUCUAUGUAAAGUGCUUUCGAAGAGUCGAGUUGUUUGGGAAUGCAGCUCUAAGUGGGUGGUAAAUUCCAUCUAAAGCUAAAUAUUGGCGAGAGACCGAUAGCGAACAAGUACAGUGAUGGAAAGAUGAAAAGAACUUUGAAAAGAGAGUGAAAAAGUACGUGAAAUUGUUGAAAGGGAAGGGUUUGAGAUCAGACUUGGUAUUUUGUAUGUCUUGCUUUCGGGUGGGGCCUCUACAGUUUACUGGGCCAGCAUCGGUUUGGACGGUAGGAUAAUGACAUUGGAAUGUGGCACCACUUCGGUGGUGUGUUAUAGACUUUGUUGAUACUGCCUGUCUAGACCGAGGACUGCGUCUUUGACUAGGAUGCUGGCAUAAUGAUCUUAAACCGCC